rnacentral:rRNA from 1 species
ACGGGAGGCAGCAGUGGGGGAUAUUGCACAAUGGGCGCAAGCCUGAUGCAGCGAUGCCGCGUGAGGGAAGAAGGUUUUCGGAUUGUAAACCUCUGUCAACAGGGACGAAAAUGACGGUACCUGUGAAGGAAGCUCCGGCUAACUACGUGCCAGCAGCCGCGGUAAUACGUAGGGAGCAAGCGUUAUCCGGAAUUACUGGGUGUAAAGGGAGUGUAGGCGGGACUGUAAGUCAGAUGUGAAAUAUGCCGGCUCAACUGGCAGACUGCAUUUGAAACUGCGGUUCUUGAGUGAAGUAGAGGUAAGCGGAAUUCCUAGUGUAGCGGUGAAAUGCGUGGAUAUUAGGAGGAACAUCAGUGGCGAAGGCGGCUUACUGGGCUUUAACUGACGCUGAGGCUCGAAAGCGUGGGGAGCAAACAGGAUUGAUACCCUGGUA